GCUCCAAUAGCGUAUAUUUAAGUUGCUGCAGUUAAAAAGCUCGUAGUUGGAUUUCGGGUGGGGCCUGCCGGUCCGCCGUUUCGGUGUGCACUGGCCGGGCCACCUUGUUGCCGGGGACGGGCUCCUGGGCUUCACUGUCCGGGACUCGGAGUCGGCGAGGUUACUUUGAGUAAAUUAGAGUGUUCAAAGCAGGCCACCGC
rnacentral:rRNA from 1 species